rnacentral:rRNA from 1 species
UACGUAGGGGGCAAGCGUUGUCCGGAAUUAUUGGGCGUAAAGAGCGUGUAGGCGGUCCGGUAAGUCAGCUGUGAAAGUCAAGGGCUCAACCCUUGAAAGCCGGUUGAUACUGUCGGGCUAGAGUCCGGAAGAGGCGAGUGGAAUUCCCGGUGUAGCGGUGAAAUGCGCAGAUAUCGGAAGGAACAUCAGUGGCGAAAGCGACUUCCUGGACCAAUACUGACGCUCAUGUGCGAAAGCGUGGGGAGCAAACAGG